rnacentral:misc_RNA from 1 species
UCUCCGUAGGUGAACCUGCGGAGGGAUCAUUACCGAGUGAGGGCCUCUGGCCCGACCUCCCACCCUUUGUGAUUGAAACCUCGUUGCCUCGGGGGCGACCCUGCCGUUCGCGGCGUGGGGCCCCCGGAGCCCAUCAAACCCUGCGUAACUAAGUCGUCGGAGUUUAAACAAAUUAAACAAAACUUUCAACAACGGAUCUCUUGGUUCGGGCAUCGAUGAAGAACGCAGC